rnacentral:rRNA from 1 species
GUGAGGAAUAUUGGUCAAUGGACGGAAGUCUGAACCAGCCAUGCCGCGUGCAGGAAUAAGGUCCUAUGGAUUGUAAACUGCUUUUAUUCGGGAAUAAACCUCUUUACGUGUAGGGAGCUGAAGGUACCGAAGGAAUAAGCACCGACUAACUCCGUGCCAGCAGCCGCGGUAAUACGGAGGGUGCAAGCGUUAUCCGGAAUCAUUGGGUUUAAAGGGUCCGCAGGCGGGCUAUCAAGUCAGAGGUGAAAUCCCACAGCUUAACUGUGGAACUGCCUUUGAAACUGAUGGUCUUGAAUUAAGUGGGCGUUGGCGGAAUAUGACAUGUAGCGGUGAAAUGCAUAGAUAUGUCAUGGAACACCGAAAGCGAAGGCAGCUAACGAUACUUAUAUUGACGCUCAUGGACGAAAGCGUGGGUAGCGAACAGGAUUAGAUACCCUGGUAGUCC